rnacentral:rRNA from 1 species
CACGUAGGGUGCGAGCGUUGUCCGGAAUUAUUGGGCGUAAAGAGCUCGUAGGCGGUGUGUCACGUCGGCCGUGGAAAACCUGCAGCUUAACUGUGGGCGUGCGGGCGAUACGGGCAGACUGGAGUACUGCAGGGGAGACUGGAAUCCUGGUGUAGCGGUGGAAUGCGCAGAUAUCAGGAGGAACACCGGUGGCGAAGGCGGGUCUCUGGGCAGUAACUGACGCUGAGGAGCGAAAAGCCGUUGGGGGAGCGAACAGG